CCUUCCUGGAUCUCAAGGCGGCAGAGAAGAUGCAUCAUUUGAUCCAGACACUUGGCUUCAGAACCCACUGCGAAGACCAAGGUGACUGGCAGGGAAGAGGUGCUGAAGAAAGCAUGUUUGAGAAACAAGAAGAAGAGGGGCACUUCACCCUAAGGGAAAUGCCUUCAGUUUUUACACCAGUGAGAUGAUGAGAUUCUACAAUGGGAAAGGCAGGUGUGGACACAGUGCAGACUUUGGAGUCUCCAUGUGCUGGUGGCUGGGAGAGGCUGAAGGUGAUUUUUUCCAGAGCUCUUUCCAAGGCACAGUGGGAGGAAACCAGGUCCUGCAGCAGUAGGGAAAGGAGAAAAUCCAGGAAUACUUUGGACACUCAGUUCCUUCUAAAGUGCCAAGAAAAGCAAAUGUGACCGUCCCUGGCUUCUCUGGCAGUUCUCUCCACUUUUGGUCAAGUUACUCAUAGCUGUCAAGGUGGACAAUAGCUACCUCUGAAAUCACAACUGCAGAGGGAAUGGGCUUACAUGAUAAACAGUGCCAGGAGGAAGCCGGGGAUAUGACCAAAAGAAAGAGCCAGGACAAGAAAUCAGGCCAAAGAACAGGACAGAGCCUAGCCAGAUCCAGACACAGCAGCAUCUGCUUCCUUACAAUGAAUUGUUUCAAUUAAAUUUUUUGAAGAAUCAAAAGACACAGGAGGCCAGAUGCCAUAAUUUAAGACAAAGUGGUAGCUAGAAAGGCCAGUUCCUUACUGAGAAAGACUGUAUAUUGUUUUCAUUAUCUGUUCAUAUGUGCUCUGUUUUCCCAUAAAACCCAGAGCCCAUUUCAAAGGGUGAAAUUUGUAUGUCUGCAGACCAUUGAUAUGGAAGCUAUUUGUGCCAGUUAGAAAUGCAGUCAGCUGCACAUAAGAGAAAAGCCUGACAGGCAAGGCCUUCAAGGAUAAUGAUUUAUUGGUCUUAUGCAGAAGCAGUCUGGGUCAGCAAUCUGGGAACAGCUCAGGAGUCCAGCUUUUCUUUUGGCGUCACAAGCCUUGCAUUUCAGACCUCCAUCUUCAAGCUUCAAGAUUCCAAGGCAGCUGCGGCUCUUUCAGUCAGCACCUUGACAUUCCAGGCAGAAAGAAGAGAAAGAACCCUAAGUGGAUAACGUUUGUCUCCAGAAAGCAAAAACUUUUCCCCAAGUCUUGAGGCUGCUCUUAGCUAC